rnacentral:lncRNA from 1 species
GCUCUCAUAGCUGAGGCUUCUUGCUCUCACCUCGUGUCCUGUGUCUGUAGCAAACCCAGAACAUCAAGAGAAAGAACAACCAGUUCAAGAAAGCAUCAUUCAGUCUUGGUCUGUGUUAGACCCAGAAGAAUCUGUGAAAUAGGAGCCCACGAGAAACCAGCUUCCUCUGGUUCUGCUGCUGGUGAAACUGCUUUAAUUAUGCCACUAGAACCAACUCUCUGCUUGGAACACAGGUGGAGAAAAUAGAUGGGGAAAAGUAAAGAAAAGAGCAGCGGCGCUGUGAGUUCAGUUCAUGAUAUCACCAAUGAGAAACUCCGUGCUCUGCUGUGGGGUUUUUCAG